AAAAUCAAGCUUUGAAAGCUUGUUCAUGGUGGCCAUGGUGGGAGUGUUUUAUGUCAAGGAGAAGAAGGGAGUUCCAAUUUUUUUCUUUCUUUUUCCAGCCCAUUUACCUCUUUUUAUAUAUGUUUAUGCCAUGUGUCAAGAUUGGGUUGGUUGGGUGAGUUUUAAUGACAUCAUGAUGAUGUCAUAAUUGGCAUUUUCUUUCAUUUUCUCUUCUUUACUUCUCUACUCAUUUUCAAUUUAA
rnacentral:misc_RNA from 1 species